rnacentral:rRNA from 1 species
CCUACGGGUGGCUGCAGUGAGGAAUAUUGCGCAAUGGACGGAAGUCUGACGCAGCAAUGCCGCGUGCGGGAUGACGGUGCUAUGCAUUGUAAACCGCUUUAGCGUGGGAAGAAAAGGCCUUAGAAGGCUUAGACGGUACCACGAGAAUAAGCAUCGGCUAACUACGUGCCAGCAGCCGCGGUAAUACGUAGGAUGCAAGCGUUGUCCGGAUUUACUGGGUGUAAAGGGUGCGUAGGCGGGCUUGUAAGUCAGAGGUGAAAGCUCGGAGCUUAACU